rnacentral:piRNA from 1 species
UUCUUACACGACAGCCUACCGACCUUCAGC